GGCGUGCCUAACACAUGCAAGUCGAACGGUAACAGGUCUUCGGAUGCUGACGAGUGGCGCACGGGUGAGUAACGCGUGGAUAUCUGCCUAUUAGUGGGGGACAACUUUCGGAAACGGAAGCUAAUACCGCAUAAUCUCUACGGAGGAAAGCAGGGGACCUUUCGGGGCCUUGUGCUGAUAGAUGAGUCCGCGUCUGAUUAGCUAGUUGGUAGGGUAAAGGCCUACCAAGGCGAUGAUCAGUAUCUGGUUUGAGAGGAUGAUCAGACACACUGGAACUGAGACACGGUCCAGACUUCUACGGAAGGCAGCAGUGGGGAAUAUUGCACAAUGGGGGAAACCCUGAUGCAGCGACGCCGCGUGUGGGAAGAAGGCUUUAGGGUUGUAAACCACUUUCAAUUGGGAAGAAGAGAUGAGUACUAAUAUUAUUCUGAUUUGACGGUACCUUUAGAAGAAGCACCGGCUAAUUUCGUGCCAGCAGCCGCGGUAAUACGAAAGGUGCAAGCGUUGUUCGGAUUUACUGGGCGUAAAGCGAGUGUAGGUUGUUUAUUAAGUCGGAUGUGAAAUCCCAGGGCUCAACCCUGGAACUGCAUUCGAUACUGAUAGGCUAGAGUUCGGGAGGGGUAAGCGGAAUUCCGUGUGUAGCAGUGAAAUGCGUAGAUAUACGGAGGAACACCUGAGGCGAAGGCGGCUUACUGGACCGAUACUGACACUGAGACUCGAAAGCGUGGGUAGCAAACAGGAUUAGAUACCCUGGUAGUCCACGCCCUAAACGAUGUCAACUAGCCGUUGCGGGUAUCGACCCCUGCAGUGGCGAAGCUAACGCGAUAAGUUGACCGCCUGGGGAGUACGG
rnacentral:rRNA from 1 species